AGCUCUCUGUGUCUCCAUCAUGGUUGAUUCCUGGAGCUUCAGUCACUCUGAUCUGUCACACUGAGCCUCCGUCAGCAGGGUGGAGCUUCUACUGGUUCAAAGCUGUUCCAAACUCUCAGGAUUCCUACACCUAUGAGCCUCUACCUGGUACCAGCAGAGGGACAGCAAAAAAUUCCUUCACAGUUCAUGGACAGACACACACAGCAGGAUAUGCAUGUUCAGCUGGACGAGGGGAUCCGCUGAUUUACACACAAUACAGUCGUCCCACAUUUGUCUGGUCUUCAGGUGUUCAUCCAUCAGCGUCUCUCACAGUGAAUCCUGACAGAGUCCAACACUUCACCUCUGAAUCUCUCUCACUGACAUGUGAAGGAAGCUCUUCCCAGUGGAGGCUGAUCCAGUUUCUGACUGACGACUCGCUGUUGAGCUUUCUUCCUCCAGCUACAAUCAAUGGAUCAACAUAUAUUAAGAAUGAGGCUCCAAGAAAAGCUGUGUACUGGUGUGAGUCUGGAACAGAGUUCAGCAAUGCAGUCAAUAUCUCCACACACUCUGAUGGCGUUAUCCUGGUGAGCCCUGUGUAUCCUGUACCUGUGGGAGAGUCUGUAACUCUCCUCUGUGUCAUGAAGACUGGAAAUAUUUCCUCUGAUGUGUUUUUCUACAAA